AUUAGAGUUUGAUCCUGGCUCAGGACGAACGCUGGCGGCGUGCUUAACACAUGCAAGUCGAACGGUGACGAGGAGCUUGCUCCUCCGAUCAGUGGCGAACGGGUGAGUAACACGUGAGUAACCUGCCCCAGACUCUGGGAUAACAGUUGGAAACAGCUGCUAAUACCGGAUACGAGACGGAGAGGCAUCUCUACCGUCUGGAAAGUUUUUCGGUCUGGGAUGGACUCGCGGCCUAUCAGCUUGUUGGUGAGGUAAUGGCUCACCAAGGCGACGACGGGUAGCCGGCCUGAGAGGGCGACCGGCCACACUGGGACUGAGACACGGCCCAGACUCCUACGGGAGGCAGCAGUGGGGAAUAUUGCACAAUGGGCGAAAGCCUGAUGCAGCGACGCCGCGUGAGGGAUGACGGCCUUCGGGUUGUAAACCUCUUUCAGCAGGGAAGAAGCGAAAGUGACGGUACCUGCAGAAGAAGCACCGGCUAACUACGUGCCAGCAGCCGCGGUAAUAAU
rnacentral:rRNA from 1 species